GUAGGUAUAGCUCAGUGGUAGAGUGCAUGCUUAGCAUGCAGAAGGUCCUGGGUUCAAUCCCCAGUACCUCCA
rnacentral:tRNA from 1 species